GGCUCGUUGGUCUACGGGUAUGAUUCCUGCUUCGGGUGCAGGAGGUCCCGGGUUCAAAUCCCGGACGAGCCC
rnacentral:tRNA from 1 species